rnacentral:piRNA from 1 species
UCUAGUGAUAGCAUGAAGCUUGGGACCUU